rnacentral:rRNA from 1 species
GACGAACGCUGGCGGCGUGCUUAACACAUGCAAGUCGAACGGAAAGGCCCUGCUUUUGUGGGGUGCUCGAGUGGCGAACGGGUGAGGAACACGUGAGUAACCUGCCCUUGACUUUGGGAUAACUUCAGGAAACUGGGGCUAAUACCGGAUAGGAGCUCCUGCUGCAUGGUGGGGGUUGGAAAGUUUCGGCGGUUGGGGAUGGACUCGCGGCUUAUCAGCUUGUUGGUGGGGUAGUGGCUUACCAAGGCUUUGACGGGUAGCCGGCCUGAGAGGGUGACCGGCCACAUUGGGACUGAGAUACGGCCCAGACUCCUACGGGAGGCAGCAGUGGGGAAUAUUGCACAAUGGGCGGAAGCCUGAUGCAGCAACGCCGCGUGCGGGAUGACGGCCUUCGGGUUGUAAACCGCUUUCGCCUGUGACGAAGCGUGAGUGACGGUAAUGGGUAAAGAAGCACCGGCUAACUACGUG